UUUCAUUAUUUGUAAUUAUACCACUUCAGACGACACAAUGACACGGGUUUGAUGAAAGGCCGUCGACGGGCACACGCCCGGGGUCAGAGGACCCCCGGCGAGGAGCGCCAAAGCACUCCUGUCCCGCCGAAGCAACACGGUAACGUAGACACGGGGUGGGAGGUCGGGCCCCUACAGGGACCCAGGACUCAGUAAUGAUCCUUCCGCAGGUUCACCUACGGAAA
rnacentral:misc_RNA from 1 species